rnacentral:pre_miRNA from 1 species
UCUUCAUUCUUCGCACUCUCUCACCGGUCAGAGAGCCGAGAGAGCACGGGAAAUGAAGAGA